CGUAGGCGGCUUGUUAAGUCAGAUGUGAAAGCCCCGGGCUCAACCUGGGAAUUGCAUUUGAUACUGGCAGGCUAGAGUGUGGUAGAGGGAAGUGGAAUUCCGGGUGUAGCGGUGAAAUGCGUAGAUAUCCGGAGGAACACCAGUGGCGAAGGCGACUUCCUGGACCAACACUGACGCUGAGGUGCGAAAGCGUGGGGAGCAAACA
rnacentral:rRNA from 1 species